rnacentral:rRNA from 1 species
CCUACGGGAGGCUGCAGUGGGGAAUAUUGGGCAAUGGAGGCAACUCUGACCCAGCAACGCCGCGUGAAGGAAGAAGGCCUUCGGGUUGUAAACUUAUGUUGUAAGGGAAGAAAAGAAUGACGGUACUUUACAAGAAAGUCCCGGCUAACUAUGUACCAGCAGCCGCGGUAAGACGUAGGGGGCAAGCGUUUUUCGGAAUUACUGGGCGUAAAGGGCGCGUAGGCGGGAGAUUAAGUCAAGAGUGAAAGCCUUGGGCUCAACCCAAGAAAUGCUCUUCAUACUGGUUUUCUGGAGUGUGUGAGAGGUUAGUGGAAUGCCUGGUGUAGCGGUAGAAUGCGUAGAGAUUAGGAGGAACAUCAGAGGCGAAGGCGGCUUACUGGACCAUAACUGACGCUGAGGCUCGAAAGCGUGGGGAGCAAACAGGAUUAGAUACCCUAGUAGUC